GUCUGGAAGUUUAGGGUAUGGAUUGGAUAAUCCCUAUCACUAUGGGCUGGAGGUUGAAAGCUGGAAAUCUGAUAAAAUGAGUAACCCUAGAUAUAAGCGAGGUAGUUCUAGUAGCAGUGGUGUAGGUAGUACAGGUGCAGGUGCUCCUGGCCCUUACCAGAGCGGGAUGUAUGACAGCUGGAAAACUGAAUGGAACCCAGCCUUCAAGGAUUAUAAUACAUCGCAUGAACCGGCGCCAAAAUCAUCAUAUAUGACUAAGGGAGGGAGACGACCGUCUUAUGACGACGACUUUUAAAUUACCUUGAUCUGGUGCUGUGACGUCAUAAAUCAGAGUUUAUCCUAGAACUAAUUAUUCAAAAUGGAUUCCCGGAAGUUCUAUACUCGUGAAACCUAUGUACAUAUAUACAUAUAAUGAACUGUGAAUGGAAAACUUGUUAAAAUUUCGUUCGACGUUUCAACCUUUCUUUGAUUGAAAUAUGUUUUAAUCUAAUGUUUAAUUUACUCAGUAUAAAUAUACAAGGGUUCCAACUAAGGGUUUGGGACGACUUUUCAUUACAAAUUAAAAACCCUGUUUUUUGUAUUCAUUCAAAUCUUAUACAGAACAAUGUUAAGGAGUUUUUCUAAUAUUAUGCAGUGAACAACGAUAGUAUGAAAGAACACGGUGAAGUCGUCUCUGAAGUUUCAUCCUUUGUGGGUAACCCUGUAUUCAUAAUACUAAAGAAUAACUAUGUCUGAGUUUAAUCAGGACUUCAGUAUACCAUACAGUGACAAUCAAUAAACAUCAAACUCGAUAUAAACAUUAGAUAUGUUGAUGACCUUAUGUUAUAUAUGUUUGUUGAAUAACCCUGUCAAAAUAUAAUAUGAGUGUUAGUAAUAUAUAAUAUAAACGCAUGUUAUAAAGGCAAACAAAUGAAAAGGGAUUAAAACAUGUAAUUACAAAAUUAAUCCUUUGUAAUGAACAAUUGACUGCACAUGGGAGGUCCAAAUUUUAAACUUUAAGGUUAAGAAGUUUCUUGUAUCUUGCCAUUUCUACAGGGUGUGUAUUUAUUUUCCUAGUUGUAAGUAGGUUAACCGCAACACACCCUGUAUUCAACUAAGCUUGCCACUGCCAAGGCUAGUCAUUAUUUACCGAUUGAUUGGGUUUUAACAUUUUUUCAGAAUUGUAAUUCAAAAACGUUUUUGCUUCUUGGUGUAAGAAGUUGCAGUGGUGUCCAUAAAACUGUGGACUAGGAAGACAAUAUCUUAGCAAUCUUAUGUCGAUAUGAAGCGAAUAUUAGCAACCAGAAAAUUUACUUGUGAAGUAAAAUGUACCUGUGUACACUGCACAAUAAGUUUAUAAUCAUUACUUCUGCCUAACACUAACAGUCGGAAUUUUCUAUUUCCCAGUUUUAUGAGUCUUACUGUACAAUCGUCUUAAAACUUGAAGAAUAAUU